rnacentral:lncRNA from 1 species
UCUGUUUCACAAGAAAGGUUUGGGUUUGCUACAAAAUUGUUUGAUGUUUUGAUGAGAAGGUGAGUUUUACUACAGUUAAAUUGGCAUAAACUUUACUUUGAAGUGUAGAUAUUUUAUACCGAAGUAUCCGAGUAACAUACAGUAUAUAGUGUUUUAUAUAGUGUAUAAAAGCCUGUAAAAUCAGUCAGUACGUUGUUCAGUUUGUAUAAAUAUGUCGUGUUUUAGUGUUAGAUGGACCGACGGACUUAGUAUGGGAUUCUAAGUUCUGUUGUCCAAUCUUUCAAUCAUAGCUGUAUGGCGAAAUAUAUUUGAGAUUCGAAGGAGUGAGUGUUUUGGAGCUCGGAAGCAGUCUCUUUCGCUUUCAUUUAAUUGUUGCGCACCGCCGCACCAGAUGUAAAUUUGCCAGAAUUUGGUAGUUUUCAAUUACAUUUCAGUUGCACAAAAUAUGAUCCUCCCAAAUAGUAAUAAAGACUGUAUUGGAUUCAAGUUUAUAAUACUCUUAUAGCCCAUGUUUACAUUACAAGCCAUUUAACUGAUCACAAAAUACGUGUAGACACACACAAAGUGACUGUUGCCAUAAUAGUGCUAAGGGGCCGACCAUUUAACUUUUGAGGGGGGGGGGGUGAUUUACUGCUGGCAGGGAAUUUUUUUUCUGGGAUCGUUAUGUGCAAGAUAUUUUUUUUUAUCACCAUCACCAUGUACGAUUUUUUUUUUGCCACACUUUCUUUCGCAGCAUUUUUUUUCAAUAGCUUAUACUAUUUAGAUUAUAGUUAACGUUGAGUUUUUUAGCUUCAUGCAUUGCUCUUAAUAAUACAUUUUGCUAUGAGGUAUAACAUUUUGUUCAGUGCCUUUUUUAAGGAUGUGCAACUGGAAAAGUUCCAGUCGGCAAGUCUGUAUCCAGGGCCGUAGCUAGCAUGUAUGGAUUGGAAGGUGUAGGCAUGUUGCCAUGUCAUGAUUCCCAAUGAUCUGUCAACAAAAUGUACUUGUCAUUUUCCUGGCCAGUGCUUCUUAUGAGAGGUAUUCACCCCCUGUGAAUGUCUGCCAUUCAAUAUUUUUGGGGGGGUGAAUGCCUCUCAUAAGAGCAUUUAGUUAUUCAAAUAACUGAUGUUUUUCUGAUUGGGUUAGGUAAUUAUUGGCUGUAAUUUUUAUCACUGUUAUUAAGCAUGGUGUACGUAUAAGUACGACAUCCUUGACUCAUUUGGUUGAUGAAAAAUAUGUGGCCGACGAAUAAAUUGAUUAUUAAUAUGGCAUUUUUUACUUUUUUAUUUGUUUGAUGCAACAAGAAACAAUUUUAAUUUGUACAUUUACUACACUGUUGACGAAAAGGUCUUAAUUUAGUAGACCUCUAGCCCUAUAUAAAUUGUCAAUGUUGUAGAUUAUAAAUUAUGGUAAUUGUGUUUUUAGCUGUAGUUACGAUGGCUGAAUCACUUCAAUAUAAAGUUGAGAAACAUUUGACUUGCUCUGUUUGUUUGGAACCACUUAAAGAUCCCAAAGUUUUACCUUGCCUUCAUUCAUAUUGUCAUGUCUGCAUUGUAAACCUGGCCAAGAAUGCAAAUUCCAAUACUAUCAACUGUCCCGAGUGUCGAUUGGCAGUAGAGGUGAGAAAAAUGUGCACUUAUGUGGCCUACUUUAUUAUUUUACUCUUUCUAACCCCAGAUGAUUUAACUCGAUCACCUGGAGAGCACUGGUAAUCAAUGAGUUAAUCAGACUACCUGCCCAUGUUCCCACCAUGAUCAGGCAAACUUUUCAGCUUGCCCAGUGCAGAUGCAUACUCAAAGUAACACCACAAACAUCCAG